rnacentral:rRNA from 1 species
AUUAGACGAAUCAUCUGGAAAGAUGAAUCAAAGAAGGUAAUAAUCCUGUAGUCGAAAAUGUUGUCUCUCUUGAGUGGAUCCUGAGUACGACGGAGCACGUGAAAUUCCGUCGGAAUCUGGGAGGACCAUCUCCUAAGGCUAAAUACUCUCUAGUGACCGAUAGUGAACCAGUACCGUGAGGGAAAGGUGAAAAGCACCCCGGAAGGGGAGUGAAAUAGAACCUGAAACCGUGUGCUUACAAGUAGUCAGAGCCCGUUAAUGGGUGAUGGCGUGCCUUUUGUAGAAUGAACCGGCGAGUUACGAUUUGAUGCAAGGUUAAGCAGUAAAUGUGGAGCCGUAGCGAAAGCGAGUCUGAAUAGGGCGUUUAGUAUUUGGUCGUAGACCCGAAACCAGGUGAUCUACCCUUGGUCAGGUUGAAGUUCAGGUAACACUGAAUGGAGGACCGAACCGACUUACGUUGAAAAGUGAGCGGAUGAACUGAGGGUAGCGGAGAAAUUCCAAUCGAACCUGGAGAUAGCUGGUUCUCUCCGAAAUAGCUUUAGGGCUAGCCUCAAGUGAUGAUUAUUGGAGGUAGAGCACUGUUUGGACGAGGGGCCCCUCUCGGGUUACCGAAUUCAGACAAACUCCGAAUGCCAAUUAAUUUAACUUGGGAGUCAGAACAUGGGUGAUAAGGUCCGUGUUCGAAAGGGAAACAGCCCAGACCACCAGCUAAGGUCCCAAAAUAUAUGUUAAGUGGAAAAGGAUGUGGCGUUGCCCAGACAACUAGGAUGUUGGCUUAGAAGCAGCCAUCAUUUAAAGAGUGCGUAAUAGCUCACUAGUCGAGUGACACUGCGCCGAAAAUGUACCGGGGCUAAACAUAUUACCGAAGCUGUGGAUUGUCCUUUGGACAAUGGUAGGAGAGCGUUCUAAGGGCGUUGAAGCAUGAUCGUAAGGACAUGUGGAGCGCUUAGAAGUGAGAAUGCCGGUGUGAGUAGCGAAAGACGGGUGAGAAUCCCGUCCACCGAUUGACUAAGGUUUCCA